ACGGGUGAGUAAUACAUCGGAACGUGCCCGAUCGUGGGGGAUAACGCAGCGAAAGCUGUGCUAAUACCGCAUACGAUCUACGGAUGAAAGCGGGGGAUCGCAAGACCUCGCGCGGACGGAGCGGCCGAUGGCAGAUUAGGUAGUUGGUGGGGUAAAGGCCCACCAAGCCGACGAUCUGUAGCUGGUCUGAGAGGACGACCAGCCACACUGGGACUGAGACACGGCCCAGACUCCUACGGGAGGCAGCAGUGGGGAAUUUUGGACAAUGGGCGCAAGCCUGAUCCAGCCAUGCCGCGUGCAGGAUGAAGGCCUUCGGGUUGUAAACUGCUUUUGUACGGAACGAAAAGACUCUUUCUAAUAAAGAGGGUCCAUGACGGUACCGUAAGAAUAAGCACCGGCUCACUACGUGCCAGCAGCCGCGGUAAUACGUAGGGUGCAAGCGUUAAUCGGAAUUACUGGGCGUAAAGCGUGCGCAGGCGGUAAUGUAAGACAGAUGUGAAAUCCCCGGGCUCAACCUGGGAACUGCAUUUGUGACUGCAUUGCUGGAGUGCGGCAGAGGGGGAUGGAAUUCCGCGUGUAGCAGUG
rnacentral:rRNA from 1 species